rnacentral:lncRNA from 1 species
GUGGCUCCACGCGCACCGUAACCACCGCAGUAGCCACCGCUCUAUUGUUCCUCAAACUCAUUCUCCAGAAAACAACCACAACCGUUAUUCCCAACCUUAUCGCCACGUCAUCGCCGUUGUUCUUUGCGUCGCUCAAGGACCGUCCGCCGGGGUACCUGAACACGCCGCUGACGGUGGUGGCGGCGGGUCUAGGGAAGUGGCUGGACAUAUACAGCGGUGUUUUGAUGGUUAGGGUUUUGUUGAGUUGGUUCCCUAAUAUACCAUGGGAAAGACAACCUCUAUCAGCGAUUCGUGACUUAUGCGAUCCUUAUCUGAAUUUGUUUCGGAAUAUUAUUCCUCCGGUUUUUGAUACACUUGAUGUUAGUCCUCUCCUCGCUUUCGCUGUGCUUGGAACUCUUGGAUCCAUUCUUCACACCGCUAUGGUUUAGGUUCAAUCUCAAUUUCGCUCCCUAGGUACUUUCUGCUAUUUUCUAUUCUUGUUUAUUUCUAGUGUUAUGUUUGCUGCAUAAUAUGUUAAUUUACUACUAAGUAAAGGCGACAAGUAAAGGGCGACUCAGUGCACGAGACGGGAUUGGGGAGGGUAGAUGUAAGCCUGUUUCCGGAAUUUUUCUUUGAACCCACAACCUUCAUGUAACAAGGCAAUGGACCUUAUUGUUGCACCUUUGCUCCCCCUCCAAUAUAUAAGUUUAUCUAAUUAUCGUUAAUUCAAGUAGCAAGAGCCACUAAUAAUCAUAAUAUUCCUUUUAUUAUAUCUAUUGCAUACUAAUAUAUGGUCACUUUUGCGACUGCACAAUAUUGUGGCUGCAUAAGGUAUGUGGUCUGCAAUUUGAAACCGUGUAUGUGAUCAAUGUAACCUGUUUUGCAGCCGGUAGAACUAGUGAUGUAGUACCCUGAUCAUAUCGAUGAUCAAUCUAAUGGUCGGUUCAGGUUUAAUAACAUUGCAUUAGGGUUUGAAAAUUGGAUUCAAGUUUGAGCCAGUUUCAAAUGUAUGCAAGAGACUUUGAAACUCAAAGGGAAAUUAAUCAGGGUCUUACAUGGGGUAGCUUUUGUUUGAAUGUAACUGCUUUUAAUUUUCUGUGAAGCAUAUGAACUUCUGUGCUUUUGAUAUAAAUGAUACAGAGAGCUCAAGAUAAUAGUGUUCUCACUAUUUCUGUUAUGGCUAGAGAGUUCAUUAAUGUCAUUAAAAUAUUUCCAAUGUGAUAUAUAUCUAUAUGCUGGACGGCAUUGAUUAUUUGUGUAAAGUAGCCCAUGUAGUACUUAUAUGCAAGUGUUUUUUAAUGCAAUUCAAUUUCCACGGUUAUAUUCUGUUUGCUUUAUAUGCUCCUUCUGUAGCUAGCUAAGUGAUGAAGUUUGUGCUAAUUGCCUAAUUCUAUCUUAGUUGAACUCAAAGUUUGUUAUACUUUCAUCCAAAGCAUAGUUGCUUCUGAUUGAUGAAAACAUUCCCUGCUUCUGAUACAUAAGAACUCUGAUGUUUUUGCUGCAUCAAAGGUCCUGAAUGUUUAAUAGAAUGCUCUGGAUCCUAUAAAGUUUGCUGUAUGAUGAGUGGUGUAUAUUUUAUUUGAAAAAACAUCUAAGAUAGAAUUUGAGAAAUAUUUUUUUAUGCUUUCCACAUAUGCAGCCACAUAUUUUUGCCCUUGAGGCCACCACCAUCUGUACUCAAUUCUAGUUUUACUCUAGAGUCUGCUAUCUAAGAGUUAUGGUGUAUAUGUUUUAUUGGAAGAAAGCAAAGUGAUGAUACCAAUAUCUGCUACUGUUUUGAACUGUUUUUCCCCCAUCUGAAGAUGUGGUGCCUCGUCUUUGCCUAGUGACUCAUGGGCUCAAUUCCAUUCACGAAAUACAUUUCAAGCUGUCAAAAAUAUUUUAGAGAAAUAAGGGAGAUUUGUGGGCUAAAAGUAAGUAAAAUAUCAUAAUAUACUUUCAGUGUUUGACAAGACUUUGUCCACUUUUUUUUUGCUUAAACAAUGGCUUUAUAGGCCAUAGGAACAGAGCAUACGAACUGUUGAUAAUUGAAUUUAAAUGACUAAAUACUUGACAGCUUGAUAAUAAACUUGCAUCGGAAAAUUACAAAAAUUCUAACUCUUCCUGUUUAGCCAGAUUGCUGCAUUUCUUAGUUGGAGGUGUCCUUUCUUAUUUAGAUUGUGCUCUGAUUAGUAGUUGGAGGUGUCCUUUCUUAUUUAAAAGUCUGUAAAACAGGGUAAACUAUGUAUGUGUUCAACAAUUUUUUGUGUGGUCACAUUGGUGCUUGUUGUGUGGCUUUUAUUUGAUUUGGUUAUGUUCACUCAUAUGUUGCUUCACCAAGUUCCUAACAUUUAAAGGGAGAGAUUGUAAGCAGGUUCAUGCAAAAUUAUCCUCUCCAUGCGUAAUAGACUUAUACUUGUCCUGGUACUUUGCGGUGAAGAUGCCUAAUAGAUUCAACACUUUUCUCUCUGGAUGACUUCUUACAUAUGUAUUUUUUGCAGGGAUUGAAGAAUACAUGAUUUAGCAAAAGAAUAGUUCAGAUUUGCAGUUGUUUUUUUCUUUUGCCCCUCAUGGGCCAGUAUCCCAUUCUAUCUAUGGUUGAAUUGGCACCAAAAAAUUUCUGGUCGUAUUGAAUUUGAGUACACUCAUAAAAAACUGUCUUCUGUAUGAUGUUGCUGGAAGCUUGCUAUGUCUUUUUAGUUGUAAUUAAUAUGAGUAAAAUCAUUGUAUGACUUUGUUGCUUCAUUAUAGGGGAUGGUUGCAAGUUAUUUCAAAAAUUGAGUUUUUAAAGAGGAAACACAUCACUACUGAGAAGAGCUUUAUGAGAGUUGAAGUUAUUAUGCUCUUUGGAAUUGUAAAGAACUUGAAAAUUGGUCUGACGCUCACAAUUUUGAAUUAAUAUCCAACUUCUACACUACAAUGCUUAUUCUGCAGGAUACUAGACAUUCCACGCACAUGAUACUAGCAUUUUAUAUAUAAUAGCUUAAUGGUUAUACUGUAAUAAAUCUACUUGACAUGAAUUGAAAAAAAGUUUCAACAGUGUUCUAUUUGAAGCCCCACCUUAUGUUGAGAGCGAAUUUUUUUUACUAUAUACUAAAAAAUAAGUGAUUAAUUAAUAAUUAGUGUGUGAUUUGAUAUGGAUUAUUUUUUUUAUUUUCAGUUUAUGAGAGAUUAUUAUAAUUUGUUUAUGUUUGAGUACGUUAGUUGAAAAUGAAUAUAAAUUAUUAUGUUUUGUUUGAGUGAGGUAGAAAUGUUGUUUUUAUAUAGUAAAUUAUAUAAAAGGGUAUGAAGUUAUUUUUUUAUGUUAUGAUUAUUUUGAUUUUUUUACAUAAUUUUUAAUAUUUAUCAUUGUAUAUAUUUACUGUAAUUUUUUUAAUUUUUAAUAUUACAUCAUAAAUGCUAAAAAAUAUAUUAAAAUAAAAUACAAUAUAAAAAUUAAUAUUAANNNNNNNNACGAGGAUGAGGAUAGGAUAAGGAUGAGAAUAGGAGGAGGAUGAGGAUUGGAUCGGGAUGAGGACGAGGACGAGGAAGAGGAUAGGAUGAGGAUGAGGAUGAGGAUGAGGAUAAAGUAAUGAGUACCAUAAUAUCCGCCUAACAGGUAUCUGCAUAUACAUUUUAAUUAAAUAUUUUUUUAUUAUUAUUUUAAUAUUAUAUUUUUUCUAUUUUAUUAUCAUUUCAUAAUAAAUUUUAGUAAUUGAACUAUAAGUAUAAAAUUACCAUAUUACUCCCGUAACAAUUAAUUUUAGAUAUUAAUUAUUAUAAAAUAUAUAAAAAUAUAAUUAAAUUGAAAACUUGUUAGAUAAUCACAAAUAUCCACUACUCGUACGGGUACCCACAGUUAAUACAAGUAUGGAUAUGGAUAUGCACUACAUGUGUCUGAUCGAUCCUAUUUCCAUCCUUAGGGGCACUACCCCUAAAAUUUAAAGCAAAUAAAAAAUAUUAUUAUUAAAAUAUGUGUUUUACCUAUACUUAAAACAACAUAUUUUUGAGUGAUUAAAUUAAAACUUAAUUUCUAGUUCUGAACGGAACAUAAGAGACACACAUUGUCACUUUCACCAUUAUUGUACAAGAACAAUCCACAAAAACAAAAACAAUAUGGUUAUGCAAUUUUACCAAUACUUUCUUUAUGACAUAUAUUUUCAUUUCCUCAAUUGAUAUUUAAUAUUUCGGUAUCAUUACUCCAUAUUGACAGUGUAAUUAUUGACAUUGUUAUUACAUUCUAAAUUUUUAUUAAAACAUACAAAGAGUUUUUUUAUAGGGACACUCAUAUUCACUAAUAAUUUGCUUUUCUAAUGAUUUAUUAUAUGAUUAAUUUCAAGUUAAUGAAAUUACCUAACAAUGCACAACGUCUAAGCGCAAAAAAAUGAUUCAUAUUUUAAAAGGAAACCUUAUGAUAAAGAUGACGAAGAUGAUAUAGUUUCGAUGUCUUUACUUCAACGAAAUUCUUCAUUUGUUCAAGUAGUCUCACAAGAUCAUCAACCUUUAAAGGUUCAAAAGGUAUCAAUAUGUGAAUAUGAUAUUAACUCUUUAGAACGUGAUCCUUGAAAACUCCCUUAAAUUUGGAAAUAUCCAAUGAAUCUAAGAGAUGAAAUUUGGAGAGCUUAUCUAAAUUGGGAUCCAUAUCAAUGUGAUGUCGAAUAGUGACAAAACGAGAUUAUAUAGUUGGAUGGACGGUGAAUUUAUUGUAGAGAACAAAUGAUUUAUAUCGAAAAGAAAAUACUUGAAACUUUUACCUCUGAUUCAAUCAUCAAUGAAUUUAAGUCUUUAAAAGAACGAAAGUAACACUUUAAAUGAAUGUAUAUUUUUCUUUAACAUAUUGAGUUGUUAAUUAAUGUUAUUGAGAAUUAAUAUAUUAUUUUAAAACUUCAAAACAAUUAUAUAUAUUUCUUUAUAUUUUAUUGUUACUUAAUUAAUUUUAAUUUUAAGUUGUAAUUAUAUAUUAUUGUCCUCUCUAAAUUUUUGAUCAAGAUAUGCUAUUGAUUAAUAAUGAACUUGUGGGCAUCUUCAACACCUAAGAAUCAUGUUUUACAAUGCAUGCAAGAAAUAAGUACAUGAAUUUAUAAUGUAGAAACAUUGUUAUAUUAGAUUGGGGAACAUAGAUGGAGUUGAACUAGAGGUAAUUCAAAUAUGCAUGAAUGUUUAGAACUUAUGGAUGAAGAUUGUAACUAUGUUAUAUAGUGGAUCAUAUAUUUGUUCAUUGAGCGAAAGUAUCCAAAUCAAACAAUGUAGAAUUAGAGAAACUCAAGUUAAACUAGGCCCCUACCCUGAUUGAUGUUGGCCUCACAAUUGUUGACCUAAUUAAUAUCAUUUUUUAUUAUGGAAUGCAAAUGUAAAGUGUUUCCAUGAUAAUAAGAACUAAUCUAGUGGUAAACCAAAACUAGAUUCUCAAGUAUUAUACAAGUUAAAAUAUCAAAGUUUGAGUUUUUAAAAUAAUACUUAAUGGAAGAGACAAUCAUAAUACAUUGGAUGAAAUUAUUGUAGAGUCGGGAUUAAGCAACAAAAACAUAAAAACUGCGAAGUUCUUGCUUGUGAACUUAUAGCCCAAGUUGGGGGCAACAUUUGGCCCAUACAUACAAUUAAAUAGAAACCCAUUAAAAGAAAAGUCAUCACUCCCUAAUCCUCAUCUUCCAAGAAAUGGCUGCACCAACAACAACAACAAUGGCUUCUUCUCAAACUCAUCUCUUCUUCUCUUUCUCCUCUUCCUCUUUACGCCUUCACCCUCUCCACCACAAACCCAACCCAAUUUCAUUCCCUUCUCUGUUCAGAGUCAAAUUAUCCCAAUCCGUUACUAGUAACCGCCACUCCAAUCCCGUAACUGAAAAAACUCAACAAAACCACGAUAUUCUACGUGGCUCCACGCGCACCGUAACCACCGCAGUAGCCACCGCUCUAUUGUUCCUCAAACUCAUUCUCCAGAAAACAACCACAACCGUUAUUCCCAACCUUAUCGCCACGUCAUCGCCGUUGUUCUUUGCGUCGCUCAAGGACCGUCCGCCGGGGUACCUGAACACGCCGCUGACGGUGGUGGCGGCGGGUCUAGGGAAGUGGCUGGACAUAUACAGCGGUGUUUUGAUGGUUAGGGUUUUGUUGAGUUGGUUCCCUAAUAUACCAUGGGAAAGACAACCUCUAUCAGCGAUUCGUGACUUAUGCGAUCCUUAUCUGAAUUUGUUUCGGAAUAUUAUUCCUCCGGUUUUUGAUACACUUGAUGUUAGUCCUCUCCUCGCUUUCGCUGUGCUUGGAACUCUUGG